UUGCUAACUGAUAUGGGGAUUUUAAUGCUUUCUGCAGCUUGUUUUUUAAUGGUAAAACUGUGUAUUUUAUUAUGAACAAUUGUGUGCCACUUCCCUUUCCAGCCUUUAUUAUUCAAUUAACACCACGUGGUUUCACACCAAGUUCUGGGACAAGUCCCCACCCAGUGCUGCUACCAUUCCACGCGUGCAGUGUGAUGACCAGCUCUGCCAGGGCCCUCAACUUGCAGGACCCGGUAUGACAGAAGCAGCAUCUUUACCGCAGGAAGCAAUCAUUUUAGAAAGGCAAGCAUCACGGAAGGCCCCAUUGCCUCUGAUCCUCACCAAAGAUCUACUGGUGGGAAGGAUAGCCCAAACAGCCCCAUCCUGCAGGCUGCAACUCUGCUAGAGUCAUAAGGAAAACCCUUGAGUGGUGAUGCUUCUUGGGAAUGGCGGUGGCUGGCUGAAAUCCCAUCCUUGCAGACAGAGAUACAGCCCAUACCAGAAGGAUCCAGACCUCAAUACCCCUGUGCCACCUCUUCACACAUUACAAGAAUCAGCCAAAAGAAAUCCAGGAGAGAGACCAGCUGCAGUGUCACUUAAGGCAUCAACAGGUGUCACAUAACCAUCUCUCUGGACAAGAUCUGGUGGAUCCCAGUAAAAGAAAUCUAAAGGAAUCUAGCAUAUUUGUUAUUUUAUCUGUAUGCCGCCUUGGGGUUUUGUACCUUUUAGGCAAUAACAAACUUUAAUCAAAGUAUGUCUAAUCAAAGUUUGUAUACAAAAGCAUUAUAA